GAUGAACGCUGGCGGCGUGCCUAAUACAUGCAAGUCGAGCGAACGGACGAGAAGCUUGCUUCUCUGAUGUUAGCGGCGGACGGGUGAGUAACACGUGGAUAACCUACCUAUAAGACUGGGAUAACUUCGGGAAACCGUAGCUAAUACCGGAUAAUAUUUUGAACCGCAUGGUUCAAAAGUGAAAGACGGUCUUGCUGUCACUUAUAGAUGGAUCCGCGCUGCAUUAGCUAGUUGGUAAGGUAACGGCUUACCAAGGCAACGAUGCAUAGCCGACCUGAGAGGGUGAUCGGCCACACUGGAACUGAGACACGGUCCAGACUCCUACGGGAGGCAGCAGUAGGGAAUCUUCCGCAAUGGGCGAAAGCCUGACGGAGCAACGCCGCGUGAGUGAUGAAGGUCUUCGGAUCAUAGAACUCUGUUAUUAGGGAAGAACAUAUGUGUAAGUAACUGUGCACAUCUUGACGGUACCUAAUCAGAAAGCCACGGCUAACUACGUG
rnacentral:rRNA from 1 species